UAGAUAUGGAGUAAAACAGAGGUGGGACCUGCCUGACCCAGCAACUGUAAGCUCUGGCCAAGGCAAAGCUACCGCCACUGCAAAAGCUGCUGGUGAGGAGAAGACAUGUUGGAAGGGAUCGUGGGGCUGCAGAAGCAGCCUGAAUUGCUGCAUGCAGCAGCAGGAUGAGCUAGCACGGAGGGAUGGGCCCUGGCGCUGAGCGUGCAAUGCCAGCGGGGCGUAGGAAGGCCGCCAGCCCAGGCACACCGCGUGGGGCAGGGUCCCGGCAUGCACCAGCCUGGCGCAGGGGAGCCGUGGCCAGGGCACUGGCAUCCUGGUAUAAACUCCUAUGUGAGUCGCCAAAUUUCACCUGCUAGGACUUCUCCAGACCUGGACCUGUAACCCCGCAGAGGAAAUGUCUGCCCUCCUGUGUUCAAAGUCCCCUCCAAAGAGAAGCAAAGGGUGCACUGACCUCACGGGGUAAAUAUUUUCCAUGACUCUCCUCCACGUCCUUCCAAGCUCAGCACCUAUAGCUGAAAGCCAGCUCCAUGUUUGAAGCUGGCUAGGCUGAACCUAUGGGCCCUGCCACCUGCUCCUCAGUCGUGGUGAGUGUUUGCAAUAGGGCAUCAGGCUGAAUUUUGCCCUCUCCUUGUUCCUGUGCAUGCUGCAAUGCCUUUGCAAAGACAAGCCCGAAGGCUUCAGCCACCCCUCUGCACCCCGCUCCAGGGACUCUGCUGGCAAACAAAAAAGCCCACGGGCCCUUGUGCAAUUCCUGAGUGAAUACUGAAUCCUGCAAGCUUGUUGUGAUGGUUCCUCCAACACCUCCCCAGCCCAGUCGCAGGCUAAGGUGUGCUGUGUGGUUAUGGGGUGCUGCCAAGCCAGCCGCGAUGCUGAAUGCAGCAGACUCAAAACAGGCACCAACCAACCAUGGGCCAAACGUGGGCUGCAGCGGGGUUGUUCUGAACUGGGAACAAAUUGGUGAACAGCUUGUCACCAGGCAAAGGAGGGGACAUUUAUUAUCUCAGCUGAAUGAGGAUGGGCAGAUGAUUUAACAGGUAUUUCCCACCUCCAGCUUCUCUGCUUCUGCUGUUGCUGGAAGGACUGUUCUUUCCCUUGCAGACUCCUGCCCCUGACAGCUAGAGCUGAGGCGCAGAGCUCUUCUCGAGGAGGCGGGGACACUAACGCCUGGUGCUGAUCCCCGAGGGGUUUUGGCAGCUGGAUUUACAACAGCUGGCUCUCACAGGUAUUGCAGGGGCCAGGGCCCUUCAGGGACAAGGUCUGUUUAAUUCGCAGCCACAAAAAGUCAGUGGUUUUCUCCUGCCACCGCUUUGCUAAGAGGGGGUCCUGUGGCUGUUCUCCUCCCCGGACUUUUCAAACGACAUGCUCCAAGCGCCUGCAGUGGCCACGUCCCACACACAGCGGAGUCCCCGGGGCGGAUCAGCCUGCUUCAUGGUGGGGCUCAUAGGGCUGGGUCUGUACCCCCCCCCCCCGUGAAGCAGGGAGAAAACACACUGCCCCGCCAGAAAGAAUGACCAGCACGUGUCACACACUGGGAGGUGUCGAAAGAGCCCUGUGCGGGCCUCGCAGGCAGCCCUUGCCUUCUGCUUUGGCCAUGUAGGGAAAAAUCACUCGAGUAAUUUGCUCUGGGCAGUCUAAAGUCCUUUAUAUCUAGGGCCAGGCCUCACCUACAGCAAAACUGUCUCUGCACAUGAGGCCAGGAGAAAGCUAUGAUCUUCCUUCCAGGAGCUCCUCCUCAGUUUUUAUGUGAGAUACCAGUGUUUCCCAGUUCUUCUCUGUUGGAGAAGUGACAUUCUUAUUUAUAGGUUUAUUAAUGCUAGAGAAAAAAAAGGUUUUUUUUCACCCAGAAAAUAUUAAACAACCAUUCAUGUGUCUG